rnacentral:rRNA from 1 species
GUCUAUGGCCAUGCCACCCUGAACAGGCCUGAUCCCAUCUGAUCUCAGAAGCUAAUCAGGGUAGGGCCUAGUUAGUACUUGGAUGGGGGACCACCUAGAAAAACCAGGUACUAUAGGCA